GAUGAACGCUGGCGGCGUGCCUAAUACAUGCAAGUCGAGCGAACAGAUGAGGAGCUUGCUCCUCUGACGUUAGCGGCGGACGGGUGAGUAACACGUGGAUAACCUACCUAUAAGACUGGGAUAACUUCGGGAAACCGGAGCUAAUACCGGAUAAUAUAUUGAACCGCAUGGUUCAAUAGUGAAAGACGGUUUUGCUGUCACUUAUAGAUGGAUCCGCGCCGCAUUAGCUAGUUGGUAAGGUAACGGCUUACCAAGGCAACGAUGCGUAGCCGACCUGAGUGGGCAAUCGGCCACCCUGGAACUGAGACACGGUCCAGACUCCUACGGGAGGCAGCAGUAGGGAGUCUUCCGCAAUGUGCGAAAGCUUGACGGAGCAACGCCGCGUGAGUGAUGAAGGUCUUCGGAUCGUAAAACUCUGUUAUUAGGGAAGACCAAAUGUGUAAGUAACUAUGCACGUCUUGACGGUACCUAAUCAGAAAGCCACGGCUAACUACGUG
rnacentral:rRNA from 1 species